AUACGUAGGGGGCGAGCGUUGUCCGGAAUUACUGGGUGUAAAGGGCGUGUAGGCGGUUUGGCAAGUCAGAAGUGAAAUUCCCGAGCUUAACUUGGGCGCUGCUUCUGAAACUGCUAAACUUGAGUGCUGGAGAGGAUAGUGGAAUUCCUAGUGUAGCGGUAAAAUGCGCAGAUAUUAGGAGGAACACCGGUGGCGAAGGCGGUUAUCUGGACAGUAACUGACGCUGAGGCGCGAAAGCACGGGGAGCAAACAGGAGUAGAUACCCUGGUAGUCCAUGCCGUAAACGAUGAAUACUAGGUGUAGGGGGUAUCGACUCCCUCUGUGCCGCAGUUAACACAUUAAGUAUUCCACCUGGGGAGUACGGCCGCAAGGUUGAAACUCAAAUGAAUUGACGGGG
rnacentral:rRNA from 1 species